rnacentral:lncRNA from 1 species
CAGCAAUGGUUUCAGGAUCAGGUUCUUCAGCAACUCCAUUAAUUUCAGCAGUAUCAAGAGCAAAUUCUCCAGUAGGUGUAGCAGCAGCAGUCGCAGCAGUAUCACCCGACUCCAUUGAGUUUUUUUUCUGAUCCUUCCUCAAACUUUUUUGUCGUGCCACACAUUUUUUCUUUGAUGGAGCUCUUAUCUGAUUUGAGUACUAGGCU